UGAGAGAUUUGUGUUUUGCAGGUGUGUGUGUGCGUGCAUAUGCAUCUGUGUGUGUGUUUGAGAUGAUCACUCCAUUGUGGACAUAACUGCAGAAUCAAUUAACUGCCCUCUGAUCACUACAGGAAAUUUAGGUGACACCCUUUAUGCGAAUGCAACUACAUAUAUGGAGUGGAAUGCAGACGAUGACCACAUUGGUGAAGAAACAGGAUGGGAAAGUAGGCCUCAAAAUGAAUCCUGACAAAUACAAAGUGCUGGAAUGACAGCAAAGACAUAACAACUGCAGGAUCAGUAUUAGACAUGACAUAGAACUUCUCCUACCUGAGCAGUUUCAUCUCUCUCAUACAGGUAAUUGCAAGAAAGAAGUGCUUGUUAGACCUGGAAAAGCAAGUGUAGCAUUCAAUAGAUUAUCCAAAAUCUGGAGAUCAAAAAACAUUGCACUGUCCACAAAGAUGAUGAUAUACCAAGCACUGGUGCUGUCUACACUCUUAUAUGGCGCUGAGCUAUGGCCAAUCAUAGCAUCAGCCAUGAGAAAACUUGAGGCUACUUAUCAUAAACGGUUAAGAUGCAUUUUGGGAAUGCCAUGGAAGGGCAAAGUAAAAAAAUAAGAGUGUUAGAGAAAGAACACAACAACGGAAACUUGAAAAUAUCAUUAUGGAAAGAAGACUACAUUGGUUUGGACAUGUUAACUGCAUGGACACUAGCAGGAGUCCUAUACAAUCCCUCAACUGGAAACUAGCUGGAUACAACAGAAGAUCAGGCAGACCUUGACAAAACUGGAAAUGAGUUGUAACAAGAGACCUCUGUCACCUGAAUAUCACAUGGGAGGAAACUAAAGAAGCAGCAGCUGACUGGACACAGCGGAGUCAACUUGUGGCCUGUUGCAUCAUCGAUGCAGAGUGAACCGAAGACCAAAUAAGAACUACAUAUAUGCAUUCACAUGCCUUAUUUGCUAAUUUGAUACUCUGCUUGUAUAUAUUUCUGCCAUCUGAUAUGACAACUUCCACAUGUCUUUUCUAUUGUUGAUGAUGUGACUGUUUUACCUCAAUUUUUGUACUCCUUCUACAGGUUACAGAUUUUCAGAUCCAUGUUUUCACUGAAUUUAAGCUUCCAUGUUUCAGACCAUUCCUCCAAACUUGGUCAACCAGCAAGUCCACAUACUUCAAAGACAGCUACACAUUGUGAUGUGGUGGUGCUGCAGCUGUAUGCUGACCCAGAGGCCAAAAAGGAAAGCAGUGUUACUACUAGUGACUGCUGUCUUGAACUUUGCAGAUUUCAGAUUUCAGAAUUUAUCCAUUAAGAGUUACAGAUGGAUGUGCUACCUUUAAACUCAGCUGAACAGUACACUGCUGUUUUAUAAAACUAUCAGGUCCACUGGAGUAAUUUGAAGACAUAUUUAAGACUAGAGACAUUGUGAUAUUGUCAAAUGAUUUUAUUCCAUUACUGUGUCAAGUAGAUUUCUAUAUGCAAUCUUUGACAGUAAAAUGCUGCACUUGUACAAACUGUCAGGUCUGGUUGACUAAUUUGAAAACCACUUUCAGCUGGCACAAUUAAUGCUAAAGGCAUUGAAAUAUUGUCAGAUUUUAUUUCAUUGCUGGCUACUAGACAUUCAUAUAGCUUAUACAGUUCAUACACAACAUUCUAAUAUUGUCAGAUGACUUUAUUCCAUUGUUGCCCAUUACAUGUACAUUUCUAUAUGCAAUGUUUGACACUUGUAUAAACUGUAAGGUGCACUUGAAUUGUCACACUUCAUGUGAAAGACAUCGAAAAUUGUCAUUUAAGUAUCCUUUUGCUGGCUA